ensembl:processed_transcript
GAGUCUUCAGAGCUGAGGUGAGUCGUUGACGCUUUUUCUCGUGUUUACACAACAAUAAAACACACUUUACAGUUUAUUAAAGCGACAAUCUGCGACUAGUUUCUGCAUUGAGUUCACCUCUAUCUGUGUGUCUGCUGACCAAAACAAUACAGCAGGCAGAGAGGAGCUCUGAGAGGACAAUAUGAAUUUCUCUUUCUUCUCCUGAAGCUCUGCCGCCAUCAGUGAAAGACAAAGACAGAGUUUAUUGAAGGACAGUGAGAAGAUGAGUGAUCCAGAACCCUGCAGAAUUAAACAGGAAGAGACUGAAGAACUAAUAGAUGUGAUUGUGAAGGAGGAGAGUGAAGAACUGAGUGAAGAUGAGGAGAAACAUCAUGUCAAAAGUGAAACUGAAACUGAGACCAAUGCAGAACACAGUAUCUUAAUGGAAAGCACAACAGUGAAAUGUUUCACCUGCACUCAGUGUGGAAAGAGUUUCAAGCACAAAUGCUCUCUCAACGUCCACAUGAAGAUCCACACUGGAGAGAAACGCUACAAGUGUUCACACUGCGAGAAGAGCUUCAUUCAUACAGGACAUUUAAAACGGCACCAGAGGACUCAUAGUAGAGAGAAACCGUUUCAUUGCACUGCUUGUGGGAAGAGUUUCAAACAUUUGUGUUCACUGCAAAAACAUUCAGUCAAGCUUCACG